GCAGGAGAAUCGCUUGAAUCUGGGAGGUGGAGACUGUAGGGAGCUGAGAUCCCAUCACUACACUCCAGCCUAGGCGACAAAGUGGGACUCCAUUUCCAAAACAUAAUAAUAAAAUAACAUAAAGUUGGAUGGACCUUUGCAAGGCUCCUUAUUUUACAGAUGAAGAAAAAGAAAUUCAGAAACCUUAAGUGACUUGCCCAAGGUCACAUUUGAACACAGGUCUUCUAAAUAACAGAGCCCUUCUGAUGACUGUAUAAUGCUACAUGUUUGUAGCAUUAAAAUUGUAAUGUAUUAUUGUUCCUCUCACUUCUAUCCUAAUACUCUUUCCACUCUGCCUUGCUCUUUUCAUAGCUAUUCUAGUACUGGCAAUGGGUAACCCACUCAUACUGUAGGUAUCUAAACUUAGAAACCAAAACUAUUCUCAGGAGGCAAAAUAAUAUGUCCUUUACUAUUUCUGUUAUCUUUACUUUUGAUUACAGCUAAGAUUUCCUUCUGUGAGUUGGCUGUUGUUGACAGGCAGUGACUCAGCUUAUGAAACAACUGACUUGUUUAUAGGCUACGAACAUUCUACUCAUUAUUACUAAAUCAAGGGAGCUUGUUUAUAUUAUGUUACCAUGCAUUUUAUUUAAAAGCAUGGAUAAUAAUAAUUCUUAAGAAUAUAUUCUUUUAAUACUCUGAACAUGAAAUUAUACAUCUGAAAAAAAUGUUAAGGUUACUUAACAUUUUUUAAACAUUGUUUAUUUCCUAUUAGAGUGGCCUAUAGUACAAGAAAAACAGACUGCAGAGUCAAAAGAUCUAAACUAGAAUCCUUAGGUCAAAGUGGCUACUUUUCAUCUAGCUGUGUAAUCCUACACAAAUCACUUAACUUAUCUCUCACUCUCUGGGAUCGGGAGAGCACA